UUCAGCCUUGUCAAAUUCGCUGCUUCCUCUACAAUGGACCGCACUGGCCCAAAUGGCUGCCACAGUGAACCUGUAGUUCAGACAAUA
rnacentral:snoRNA from 1 species